ACCAUUUUUCCCAUGAGAAAGAAGCCAAUGACCUAGAGGCAAACAGGGUCUCACUCUGUUGCCUAGGCUGGAGUACAGUGGCAAGAUCUCGGCUCCCUGCAACCUUCGCCUCCCGGGUUCAAGCUAUUCUCCUGCCUCAGCCUUCUGAGUAGCUGGGACUACAGGCACAUGUUACCAUGCCCAGCUAAUUUUUGUAUUUUUAGUAGAGACAGGUUUUCACCAUGUUGGCCAGGCUGGUCUCGAACUCAUGGCCUCAAAUGAUCCACCCACCUUGGCCUCCCAAAGUGCUGGGGUUAUGGGUGUGAGCCACCGCGCCUGGCCUAUACAUGAUUUCUUUUAAUACUCUCAAGAAUUGCUUGUUACAGGCACAGUAGCCUGAAUUUUAUGGAUGAAGAAAUGGAGACCCGUUUCUUUAUGGAUGAAGAAAUUGAGAGAAGUUAAGCAACUUUCCAGAGGCUCCCCCCAGCGGCUUUUCUCUCUUGCUUAUUCUGAAGAAACUAGCUGCCUUGUUGUGAGUUACUCUGUGGAGAGACCCACAUAUUAAGGAACUGAGAGCAUGACCACUGGCCAACAGCCCUGGAGUGAUUGAAUGUUUCCAAAAACCACACUCAUGAGCUUGGAAGAGGAUCAUUCCCCGUUCAAACCUUCAGCUGAGACUGCAGCCCUGCCAAUACCUUGAUUGCAACCUGGUGAGAGAUCCUGAGCCUGUGGACUCCGCUCAGCUGUGCCUGGAUUCCUGACCCACAGAAACUGUCAGAUAAUAGCUGUUUUAAACUACCAAGUUUUGGGGAAAUUUGUUAUGCAGUAAUAGACAACAAAUAGAUUAUAUAAUGACAAACUUCAGAUAAAUGGAGGUACAGUUCUUGGAGGGGGCACUUUUUUUUCUAGUUCAAACAAAGAAGUAGUAUCAGUGUGGGUUAGCAAUAGCCCUGGUCACCCCUCUCUCAGCUCAGAUGUUGGGGAAGGGGUUUGUGGUUGGCUUCCCUAGGUCCUCACCUUUUCUCUGAUUGCUAGCCAAAGGCCCAAGGGAGCAGAGGGAGGAGAGGUGAGGGCAGAUAAGGGCUCUCUUGACCAGUAGUGUCACAGUUUGGCAUUGGUGCUCUCUGCCUGGCAGGUAUUUAAACUUCCUUCAGGUUUGGCAAGUGAUCAAAGCUGAGUCAAUUCUUUGAGGUGUAUUGUGGAUUCUUUGAGGUCCCUGUUAGUGGCGUCCACGCUGCACAGUCCCCCAAUUGUUCACCUGAGAACUGUGUUCAGGUGGGGAUUCUUCAGUUCCCUUCUUGUGGUGCCUCUUUCCCAGAUCCCAUGCCAGGUGGUAGCUGUGAGUACCUCUUUCUACUCCUUUCAGGUGGGAUGCUUCUAAGACACCUCCAUUCCAGUUUCUGCACAUCUGCUUGACUCAUGGGAAGCUCAUGCAUCCUUGGCACCUGGAUCAGGGUCUCAAUCAGAUGCCAGUCUCCCCAGACUUCAGGGAAUUCACAGCAAACUAGAGAUAUUUCCUGUAAGUUCCUCUCACCAGGCAAGGCUGUGGUCAGGAGUCAUUGCCUCUCUCCUCUUCCAAGGGGACUGAGACUAACUUCAUACUGGACUACUUUCUCCAGAAAAAUCCUCUCCCCAGUUUCCAACUUCAGCCUUUUCAGAGAUGGCCGUUGGACCAAGAGUCAGAAAACUAUUUCCAUUUAGACCCUUUGCAAGGUUGGAAAUGUCAGGUAUUUGAACAUUUCAUUUUGUUUUUGGCCCAUGGAGCCUCAACUGAAACCAAUACCCAAAUAUUCCAUUUUAGCAUCCUGUUAUAUGCAUACAGUUGCUGUUCAGUCCAUGGUGCUUUGUAACUUUUACGUUGUUGUGGGAGAUUUACUGCACUGAUGGACCUCAUCAAUGGUAUCCACACUCUUUGCCAUGGCUUGUUAGCCCCUCUCAUCAAGGGUUGAAGUCUAUUUCCCAAUCCUUGGAUUUGGGCUAGUCUUGUGAUUGCUUUGACCAACAGAAUGUGGCAGAAGGAACAUUAUACCUUUUCUGAGCCUGGGAACAAGAGACCCUGAAUGAUUUUGGCCUGUCUCUUGGAGUUCUCCUGCUGUCCUGUGAAUAAACCUGUGGGCGGAAUGACAGACUAUGUGAAUAAGAGCAGAAUCAGCUCAGUUGUCCCAGAUGUGUGAGAAAGCCCCACCAAGAUUAGCAGAGCCACCUAGCCUCACCACAGAAAUAUAUGCAAACCCCACCAACCUCAGCUCAGGUGAUCAGAACUGCCCAGCUGACCCACUGACUUGUGAGUGAAAAUAAUCGAUGGUUACCGU
ensembl:lncRNA LINC00934 long intergenic non-protein coding RNA 934